AAAACAUUUUUUAAUGAGAAAAUACAAAGGUCCUUCGGCAAAUGGACAAAGUGUAUACAGAAAUCGAGUGAUUAUGUCAAAAAAUGAUGUAUGUCUUUUUUGACAAUUGCUUAAAAUAAAUUCUACACCGACAGAGCGGGCUGUUAAUCUAGAGGCUGGAGUACAAAGAAGUGGCACAAUGAUGUGGGCUGAUGACAUUUAUAAUUAUCAAGGAAUCACCCCUACAUUCGCUCAGAAUUUUAAUGAAACUGUCCCUUGGGAAGGAAGAACUGAUACCUUGAUAUCACGGUUUGUACAUCCUAUAUAUACGACAAAUUUUAGAACAUUAUAUAAUGAAGAACCAGAUCGUCGUGGCCAUGUGAUGUGAAUAAAAGGACUUGAAUUUGAUGAUAUUUUUAUAAUGUUAGAUAACAUAACUAAGUAUCUUCACAGUAAGAUAGGAUGACAUGGUUUACAUGAUCUUAAUGUUGUUCACUUGAGUGAUGAUAUUAUAAGGAAAAGUGUAAUAUCACAGGAUAUUUAUGUUUAGUAACCAGUAAUUCAGAGAUUGGUAUUCAUGGUUACUAUAACGAGGCUGUAGAAACGCACCCUUUCUUCUUUGCAAAUGGUCCUGUAUUUAUGUCUAAGCCGAAACUGGAACCUCUGAAUAAUUUAGAUUUAUUCUUGUUAUUUUCUAAAAUACUUAUCUACAGUAUACCAUAAGGAAUGAUACCGUAUCGCACCUAAUCAAGUGCCUUAAGAAACAUCAACAGGAUAUCACAGUAAUCCCUUAUCGACAGAUAUUUGUAGCCACUACAAUAUCUAUGACACUGGUAGUAAUUAUAAGAACAAUAAUGAUGUUCUAUAAGAGGAAAUGAUGAUUAGGAACAAAAACUUACAAGAGAUAUCAUGCGGUGGAUGGAUAAUAUGUAAAAAAUAUUAAGCAGUAUAUGAAUUUUCAUAUUGCGUAGAGAUAACAAAAUGAAUUUUAAAAAAUGUCGACAUAGUAAUAAGAAAUAGCAUCAUGACAAAGAAUAUAUAAAGACAGUUUCAUUUUUUAUAAAUAAAAAUUUGUUGUUCCAGAUUUUGAAAUAUAGUGAAACGUUUAAUUAGUAUCUUAAUAUCUUUAAAUAAUUAUUAUUUUAGAAUCAAUUGUAAUUGUAUCAUACGUACUUUUGAAUUCGUGCAAGAACAUAUGUAAUUUUGAAGUAGUUAUUAUUAGGAAAUUGUUAGACGCGAACAGUAUGCGAAAAGUUAGUAUGCAGUGUAAUAAUUAUCAAUCAAAACACAAGAAUUAAAUUCUUGAGGAAAAAAUUUCCGGAAUUUCUUAUUUACAUGAUUAUAAAGAAAUCCAUAAUAAAAAGGAGCUGCUUUCUAAUACUUCUCUUCCUUGUAAUGCCUACGUUAACAAUAACGAGGUUCGACUUCUUGUUUUUAGAGGGAUACUGGAAAAUUUGAAAGUACAGUACCAUUGGGAAGAAAAUCACGAUAUUGAAAACGAUAUUUGCAAAUUGAACAAUAUUCCAGAUUUAUUCAUAAUUUCAUACUACGCGAAGAAUAGACUUUCAUAGGUAUAUAAAGGAAAUAUUAAGUAUAGGAAAACUCUUCUUCGUUGUAGGUGACAUAUGCUUCACGGUUGAAUACAUGUAUUUUUGAACACAUAUAAAUGAAAAAGUACUCUUAUGGAGAAAAAGAAUUGAUACCUUCGAUUGACAUUAGAUAAUGUAUAUAAACUUAUGAACAAUCACUAUCAGUUUGUAUUUUAGGUGCACACGCAGAUUUGUUGGAGUUCUUAUAAAAUGUACUUCCUGUACGAACGUUUUAUUCUUCCAAAUUUUACGAUACUAUGUCUCAUAUAAUAACUUUAUGGAUUAAACGUAAUAUAAAUAAUCCGAAAAUAGACUCGAACGACAUUAAUUGUCUUUCUAUUUAUACCAAUAUGGAAAAUACAAGUAAAGCUGGAGCAAUAGUAUGCAAGAAUGGACUAUUUAUUAUUUUAAACCAAAUCAUAGCAUAUUCAGAAUGCACAGUAUUAUCAUGAAAUGUAAAUGAAUCAGUUGUAAACGAACGAUUUUACUGUAAAAUCAUUGCCUCCUUUUUUUCAUCUGAAAUAUAGCAGCAAUGAGUACAUUCUUUUAAUAUAUAAUAAAACGAGAUAUCUUUAUAAAGUUACAUAUGUCAUCACUGGUAACUGUUAUCUCGUAUGACAUCAAAUAUACCGUUAGUAUGGAAUGAUAUUUUUAUGAAGAUAUACUUUAAUGAUAGAUUUUAUGAAUGAAACGUUAUAUAAGAAAAAUUAUCUCUUGUUAUUCUAUGAAGUGUAGUAGCUAAUGAAGAUUAAUUUUACGAAGUAUUAGAGCAAAAGAGAAUUAAAAAAUUAAAAAGAUCUAAAUAAGA